GCUGNGGCUUAACCAUAGUACGCUUUGGAAACUGUUUAACUUGAGUGCAGAAGGGGAGAGUGGAAUUCCAUGUGUAGCGGNGAAAUGCGUAGAUAUAUGGAGGAACACCGGUGGCGAAAGCGGCUCUCUGGUCUGUAACUGACGCUGAGGCUNGAAAGCGUGGGGAGCGAACAGGAUUAGAUACCCUGGUAGUCCACGCCGUAAACGAUGAGUGCUAGGUGUUAGGCCCUUUCCGGGGCUUAGUGCCGCAGCUAACGCAUUAAGCACUCCGCCUGGGGAGUACGACCGCAAGGUUGAAACUCAAAGGAAUUGACGGGGGCCCGCACAAGCGGUGGAGCAUGUGGUUUAAUUCGAAGCAACGCGAAGAACCUUACCAGGUCUUGACAUCCCGAUGCCCGCUCUAGAGAUAGAGUUUUACUUCGGUACAUCGGUGACAGGUGGUGCAUGGUUGUCGUCAGCUCGUGUCGUGAGAUGUUGGGUUAAGUCCCGCAACGAGCGCAACCCUUAUUGUUAGUUGCCAUCAUUCAGUUGGGCACUCUAGCGAGACUGCCGGUAAUAAACCGGAGGAAGGUGGGGAUGACGUCAAAUCAUCAUGCCCCUUAUGACCUGGGCUACACACGUGCUAUAAUGGCUGGUACAACGAGUCGCAAGUCGGUGACGGCAAGCUAAUCUCUUAAAGCCAGUCUCAGUUCGGAUUGUAGGCUGCAACUCGCCUACAUGAAGUCGGAAUCGCUAGUAAUCGCGGAUCAGCACGCCGCGGUGAAUACGUUCCCGGGCCUUGUACACACCGCCCGUCACACCACGAGAGUUUGUAACACCCGAAGUCGNU
rnacentral:rRNA from 1 species